GAGUUUGAUCAUGGCUCAGAUUGAACGCUGGCGGCAGGCUUAACACAUGCGAGUCGAGCGGGGGAGGUUGCUUCGGUAACUGACCUAGCGGCGGACGGGUGAGUAAUACUUAGGAAUCUGCCUAUUAAUGGGGGACAACAUCUCGAAAGGGAUGCUAAUACCGCAUACGCCCUACGGGGGAAAGCAGGGGAUCACUUGUGACCUUGCGUUAAUAGAUGAGCCUAAGUCGGAUUAGCUAGUUGGUGGGGUAAAGGCCUACCAAGGCGACGAUCUGUAGCGGGUCUGAGAGGAUGAUCCGCCACACUGGGACUGAGACACGGCCCAGACUCCUACGGGAGGCAGCAGUGGGGAAUAUUGGACAAUGGGGGGAACCCGUGAUCCAGCCAUGCCGCGUGUGUGAAGAAGGCCUUAUGGUUGUAAAGCACUUUAAGCGAGGAGGAGGCUCUUCUAGUUAAUACCUAGGAUGAGUGGACGUUACUCGCAGAAUAAGCACCGGCUAACUCUGUGCCAGCCGCCGCCGU
rnacentral:rRNA from 1 species